AACGAAAAUUUGGUAUUUAUUU
rnacentral:snRNA from 1 species